UACGGGGGGGGGGCAAGCGUUUGUUCGGAAUUACUGGGCGUAAAGGGUGCGUAGGCGGCUUUCUAAGUUGAACGUGAAAUCCCUGGGCUCAACCCAGGAACUGCGUCCAAGACUGGGAGGCUUGAAUCCGGGAGAGGGAUGCGGAAUUCCAGGUGUAGCGGUGAAAUGCGUAGAUAUCUGGAGGAACACCGGUGGCGAAGGCGGGUCUCUGGGCCGAUACUGACGCUGAGGAGCGAAAGCGUGGGGAGCGAACAGG
rnacentral:rRNA from 1 species